rnacentral:misc_RNA from 1 species
UGGUUCUGGCAUCGAUGAAGAACGCAGCGAAAUGCGAUAAGUAGUGUGAAUUGCAGAAUUCAGUGAAUCAUCGAAUCUUUGAACGCACAUUGCGCCCCUUGGUAUUCCUAGGGGCAUGCCUGUUCGAGCGUCAUUUAAGCCUUCAAGCAUUGCUUGGUGUUGGGGGUCGUCCCGUGUGGACCCGCCUCAAAUUGAUUGGCAACGGGGCAUGAGUAGCUCAGCGCAGCACAUUUGCGCGCCUGCUUGCGGCCUGUGUCCAUAAAAGUUAUGCCGUAUUUGACCUCGGAUCAGGUAGGGAUACCCGCUGA